AUUGAACGCUGGCGGCAGGCCUAACACAUGCAAGUCGAGCGAGCGGCGGACGGGUGAGUAAUGUAUGGGGACUGACCGAUAGAGGGGGAUAACUACUGGAAACGGUAGCUAAUACCGCAUACUAUCGGAUAACCCAUAUGGGAUUAGCUAGUAGGUGAGGUAAUGGCUCACUUAGGCGACGACCCCUAGCUGGUCUGAGAGGAGGAUCAGCCACCCGGGGACUGAGACACGGCCCAGACUCCGACGGAGGCAGCAGUGGGGAAUAUUGCACAAUGGGCGCAAGUCUGAUGCAGCCAUCCCGCGUGUAUGAUGAAGGCCUUCGGGUUGUAAAGUACUUUUGGCAGAGAAGCGGUAUCUGCAGAAUAAGCACCGGCUAACUACGUGCCAGCAGCCGCGGUAAUUC
rnacentral:rRNA from 1 species